rnacentral:sRNA from 1 species
UAACAAAGCUUGGUUGCGAGCACGGAUC